rnacentral:sRNA from 1 species
UAUAGAAGGCCGCAGAGAUGUCAAGCUUUGUAAAUCAUUUUGCUUUUCCUACUUGUUCAAGUAUUUCAUUGAUGAGUGGGAGAGGGUAUUGGUUCUUCUGUGUAAUCUUGUUGAGUUCUUGGUAGUCAAUGCAGAAUCCCUUUGUCCAAUAGUCUGUUGAGUGUUUUUUGUAGGAUGAGGAGCUUGUCGCGUGACAUGCUGUAGAGAGGACCCCAGGGUGGUUGCGGAUCCUUACCAUCCUUCUUGAUGAGCUUGAUUGUAUGAUCUAUACUGGGUCCUCAGUGAGGAGGAAGCUUUUCAGCUUCUUUUUCAUUGAACACAUCUGUGAAGUCUUUGUACAAUUUGGGUAGUUUCUUGUGUGGUUUCUUGGGGUCUUUGGGUUCUAGCUUUUCUAACACUUUUUUGAUAUCUGCCAUGCUAGCAGUGAACACUUGGAUGUUCUUCUUCUCAUGCACUUGGUGGGUUAGUAGUUUGUACGCUUCCACUGAUAUCUGGGUGAGAUCAGCGGUUCUAUCGACAUCCUUCUCAUAAACAUGGUCACCUCCUGGGAAAAUAAGGCAGCAGUUGUGUGUGUCCAACAAGGUUUCAAAUUCUGUGAGUCAUGAUAGGCCGAGCAUUAGAUUGUACUCAAGGUCUUGUAUUUCAUAUGCAUAUAUGUUCUUUUUCUUGUGUCCUCCUAUGUUGACAUUAAAUCUUAUCAUGUUGUAGGAGGUGGAUCCUCUGGGGCUGUCAAAUCCACUGAGCUUAUGCAGUUUGGGAAAGGGGAUACACUGGAGCUUAUGCUUCUCGACCAGCUGGGUGUCUAUAAGAGUGU